AACUAAGGGACCGUUCAUUAUUUAUACCCAGGGUUGGUACCGAAGAGAAGCGAAAAACAGUGUAAAUUUUUUAUUUACCCAACCUCAACAUUGGUCAAAAUAAUGUUUACCCAACCCAUGUGUUACUGCACUUCAUAAUAAUUAAACACACGAGAUUAUGGUGACAGAAAUCAAGUUGCCUAAAUUCUAAAAGCUCACUCAGACUCACACUCACUGAGUGUGCCAAAGCAAUCACGUUCCUGCUGAUCAAUGAUAGAGUCC